AGAUGGAUAAUUCAAAUUAAUUCAGUCACAUGAUUAAUCAUAAUGUAUGUUUUAUUACUGAUAGUUUGGAAGAGAGGAAAGGUAAAGACAUAGAAGCAGAGAAAUUAUAGUAAAGACUUCUUCACUUUUUCCUGAAAAGCUUUCCAUGAGUCCAGAUAUGGUUAAAUGCCUCUUUGCUGUUUUCUCAUAAAAUUCUGUGCAAAAGCCACACUGACUUUUGAGCACUUACCCAAGAAAUAUUAAUGGCAAAUGUAUUAAGUUCCAUGUGCUUUAGAUGCCAGGGACUAAAACUGUGAGUUAAGCAUAAGAAUUUUUUUCCUAUAAGGAAUACCUCUUACUCAAGAAAGCAGAAAAUACAUAGGCAAACAAAUACAUCCGUGGACUAUUACUGAUUUAUGCAGUUUGGGACAGAAACCAGGGGUUGGCUGGGAGGAGGGGGGUCUUUUAGGAAGCACCCCUUACCCCAGGCUCCAUAGGGGCAGGUGGCAGUGCUUGUAGGAACCACAGUGCCCUUCCCCCCAACCCAUGAGAGCCCAGGGCUCAUGCCAGCCUCCCAGGAGUUUGAGACCCAAAAUUCACCUGAUGGUGGCAGGACAGGCUGCUGACUCAAAAGGGGUUUGGUCACUUUGCAGUCCUUAUUGACCCAGUUAUUGGGACAGGUCCCAGCACCUUUAGGAACCACAGGCCUCUCUGACCAAAAUCCAGGCCUCACCCCAGCCUGCCUCAGGGUUCCAAAGCUGAGUCCAGGCUGCAGAAAGGGCUUGGCAGGAAGAACUGGUAGCAGGCUCGGAGAGCGGGCUCAAUUAGGAGUCUUGUCUCCCUUCAGGAUGGGUUGGGUCAGGCCCAGCAUUGGUAGGAACCAUGGAGAGUUCGCUUGUGAGUGAUGAGCCUGCAAGAGGAAGUGGGGGCACUGCCAGUUGUGAGAACCAGGCCCUGGAGACAUGUGGAUAAGUGUGGAAAGGCCCUGCCUGGCAAAGGGCAAAGGGACCCAUCGUUCUCCAGUCCUUAUGUGCCCCAGGAAGGAACUUUGCUGGAAAGCAGUCCUUUCACUGGAGUGAAAAGGAUUCAGGGAAAGGGAGGCGUUGAUGAUGGCGUAGGUUCUAUCUUUCGGCAAGUUUAAGGAGAUGCUGCUUUCCAGGGCCACUCAAGCCAUCAAAAUGCCAGACUCAGCCCUGAGUCCCAGCGCGUCUGCAUCCUCAGCUUUGACUGGACCACUCAGCACUCGCUGGAGCCCCCUCCCCGAGUAGAAGCACACUGAUGAGAAGUCUAACUGCUCUGUGGGUCUGCGUGAUGCCCAGGCUGCACUGGCCCCGCGGGCAGGCAGGAGACAUGGAAGUACGUAGAAGGCUGAAGACAGGCCUGCUGAGUGGUCCUGCCUUGUCAUUUGUUUGUAUCACCAGCAAAGAAAGACUGAAAACAGAUCUUGACACAACCAGUCAUUUAAACUGAAGCAGGUGAGACAGCAGCACAUAUAAAAAGGCUGGGAGCCUUGGCGUUCCCGUUGUGGCUCAGCGGAAACAAAUCUGACUAGGAACCAUGAGGUUGUGGGUUCGAUCCCUGGCCUCGCUCAGUGGGUUAAGGAUCUGGUGUUGCCAUGGGCUGUGGUGUAGGUCGGAUCUCAUGUUGCAGAUCUGGUGGCGUAGGCCGGCAGCAACAGCUCUGAUUAGACCCCUAGCCUGGGAACCUCCAUAUGCCAUGGUGCAGCCCUAAAAAGACAAAAGACAAAAAACAAACAAACAAACAAACAAAAAAAACAAAACAAACCUGGUUGCCUAGAGCCAGUUCCUCUCCCAACCAAACUGUCUGUGGGCAGGGUCUACCUUCUUGAUUUCCACGAGGCUGCACUGCCCUCUGUCGGUCACUUGGUUAUCAACGUGGGCCGCGCAGCACUCCCUCUGGAAAUCGCAGGAGCUCUCCCGAGCAGGGAGUUUUCUGCCAGCCAGGCUUGUUUCCACACAGUGACUCAUAAAAUGAGAUAAUGAGGGGCAAGAGCAAGUUAAAAUAUUUACUAUAAUUAACAUCGGGUGGAAAAACUUAUGUCUUAAAUCACUUGUGGAAAGACUGUGGCCUGGAGAGGGUUUUGCAGUGGGUAUAACCCCACCCCCACCCCGGCAUUUCCUGUCGAUGAAGCAUACAGAAAAAA
rnacentral:lncRNA from 1 species